CGAGGUGUAGCUCAGUUUGGUAGAGCACUACGUUCGGGACGUAGGGGCCGUGGGUUCAAGUCCCGUCACCUCGACCA
rnacentral:tRNA from 2 species